AUUACUUUGGCAGAUUAGUGCCUUAGAUUUAGAAUCUUUUAAUGUAAAUUGUUUUUACAAGUAAUA
rnacentral:tRNA from 1 species